rnacentral:lncRNA from 1 species
UAGGAAUGUUUCAGAAGUAAGAGAGAAGACUAGGGUUUCAAGAACAAGGACCAGCACCUAUGAAGGCUCUGAGGCACAGACCACUGUGACCUGUGGAGAAGUGCAAAGUGAAAGGCAUGUUUUGAUUACUACUGACAUUCAAAGUCUGGACACGGGUGACAAAUCUAAAAGAUAUUGCCCGUUCAUCCAACUGCUGCUGUCCGGCCAGUAUAUCUUCUGAGAUUACCAUCAGCUAAAUAUUGCAUUGUCUUUGGACAAUUUUCCUACAUUGUGACUCCUCACUACAUUUUCGAUGCUUUUCUAGUCCCAGACAAGCUACAGACUGUUAAUUUACACUUGCUUUUGCCUUGCCUGAGGAAAUUGAAAAUAAACUUUAAUUUCCUAGUCAAGGGCUACGGGUGCUUUGUGUGGUUUGGAGGAAAAAAAAAUACUGUUAGGUGGAAUUAGGGAAUAUUAGGAGAGUUUCUGAAGUUAGUGAAGGUACACAGUAAUUGAUCACUUGCCCUCAUAGUGAGAGGUCAUUCCAAUGAGCAGAGGUUCUGUCAAUAUCUGAGAUCUGUUUGAAACCUGGCCUCGAUCUGUCAAUCACGCCCAGUAACCAUAUUCAUAGGGUUCAGAUCUGAAUUUUGAAUUGCAUCAGAAGCUUUCCUCUGGCCUUGGAGAUGCCAUUGAGACCAUUCUCAUAGUUAGUCACCACUCACAGUACACAAAAUGGAAGAAAAAACUUCCUUUGGGGCAAAUCAACAAUCUCUGGUAGGAAAAUAAACAAGGAUGCUUUCAGAAUAUCAGAAGCCCAAGCCUGAGCAUCUGGAGGCAAAGCAAGAGUAGAGAAGUCUUUGUUGGUGGUACCACUGCCUGUAGGAAUUUAAGAGAACUUGGAUCUUAGAAGUUGCUCAGUUAAGUCCUAGAGAGAGCCUAAGCGGGACUGAUGAGAAGCAGAACAAAUUGUUAUUUCUGAGAAGAAAAACCAACACGUUAACUUUUGGAGGUUUGAAUUUUUUGUUUUAGUUUUUAUUCCUUUUGGGAAAAGCUAUUUUUAUUGCAAAAAAAAAUGUAAAGCUAGCAACAAAAUAGUCGAAAAGUAUUUAUUGUGUACCUACUGUGUGAUAGGAGCUGGGUUUCAAACCCAAGUGAAUAUGAAAUAGAUGAGCCCUAGAUGCACA